CCCAACUUGGACCGUAUGGGCUACAUAACGCUUGUUUUGUGUCAUCGUUGUAGCGCUCAGAGGAACGCUUGUAAAUAUUCUGCGUACACCUAUAAAACAUCAUCAUGAAACAAAAUAAUAUACAGGGUCCAGAUCCGCUACUAAUUAGUAAAACGUCAAGAUGUACUUAUACCCGCUCCUAAGUCCCAUGUCAACAUAAUGUAACCACGGACAUAUGUAAUGGAAAGAUGAUCCGACAGGUCACGUUGCGAACCGCUUUGUCCUAAAAUUCGAGACACCAUAAGCGACGUACGACGAUAAUCCAGGUACAAGUACCGAGAAUGAUGGUCGAUUUAUGACGGUAUCUGAGAAGUUUACAACGAUGUUAUCGUACACGUUUUUAUACACAUACAACGUAUAACGAG